rnacentral:rRNA from 1 species
GACGAACGCUGGCGGCGUGCUUAACACAUGCAAGUCGAGCGGAAAGGCCCUUCGGGGUACUCGAGCGGCGAACGGGUGAGUAACACGUGAGUAACCUGCCCUCAGCUUUGGGAUAACCCUCGGAAACGGGGCGUAAUACCGAAUAUUCACAUUGGACGGCAUCGUUUGGUGUGGAAAGGUUUUUACGGUCGUGGGGAGUGGGCGUCGCGGCCUAUCAGCUUGUUGGUGGGGUGGAUGGCCACCAAGGCGACGACGGGUAGCCGGCCUGAGAGGGCGACCGGCCACACU